rnacentral:rRNA from 1 species
CCUACGGGAGGCAGCAGUGGGGAAUAUUGCACAAUGGGGGAAACCCUGCUGCAGCGACGCCGCGUGAGUGAAGAAGUAAUUCGUUAUGUAAAGCUCUAUCAGCAGGGAAGAAAAUGACGGUACCUGAGUAAGCCGCCCCGGCUAACUACGUGCCAGCAGCCGCGGUAAUACGUAGGGGGCAAGCGUUAUCCGGAUUUACUGGGUGUAAAGGGAGCGUAGACGGGAGUGCAAGUCUGGAGUGAAAGGCGGGGGCUCAACCCCCGGACUGCUCUGGAAACUGUACGGCUGGAGUGCAGGAGAGGUAAGUGGAAUUCCUAGUGUAGCGGUGAAAUGCGUAGAUAUUAGGAGGAACACCAGUGGCGAAGGCGGCUUACUGGAGUGUAACUGACGUUGAGGCUCGAAAGCGUGGGGAGCGAACAGGAUUAGAUACCCGAGUAGUC